UACGUAGGGUCCGAGCGUUGUCCGGAAUUAUUGGGCCUAAAGCAUCCGUAGCCGGUUCUACAAGUCUUCCGUUAAAUCCAACUGCUUAACAGGUGGGCUGCGGAAGAUACUAUAGAGCUAGGAGGCGGGAGAGGCAAGCGGUACUCGAUGGGUAGGGGUAAAAUCCGUUGAUCCAUUGAAGACCACCAGUGGCGAAGGCGGCUUGCCGGAACGCGCUCGACGGUGAGGGAUGAAAGCUGGGGGAGCAAACCGG
rnacentral:rRNA from 1 species